rnacentral:ncRNA from 1 species
AAGUAAAAGGAACUCAGCAAAUCUUAUCCUGCCUGUUUACCAAAAACAUCACCUCUAGCAUUACCAGUAUUAGAGGCACUGCCUGCCCAGUGACAUAUGUUCAACGGCCGCAGUAUCCUGACCAUGUAAGGUAGCAUAAUCACUUGUUCCCUAAAUAGGGACUUGUAUGAAUGGCCACGCGAGGGUUCAGCUGUCUCUUACUU